GUAGGUGGCAAGCGUUGUCCGGGAAUUAUUGGGGCGUAGAGCGCGCGCAGGCGGUUCUUUAAGUCUGAUGUGAAAGCCCACGGGCUCAACCGUGGAGGGUCAUUGGAAACUGGAGAACUUGAGUACAGAAGAGGAAAGCGGAAUUCCACGUGUAGCGGUGAAAUGCGUAGAGAUGUGGAGGAACACCAGUGGCGAAGGCGGCUUUCUGGUCUGUAACUGACGCUGAGGCGCGAAAGCGUGGGGAGCAAACAGGAUUAGAUACCCUGGUAGUCCACGCCGUAAACGAUGAGUGCUAAGUGUUAGGGGGUUUCCGCCCCUUAGUGCUGCAGCUAACGCAUUAAGCACUCCACCUGGGGAGUACGGCCGCAAAGGCUGA
rnacentral:rRNA from 1 species